rnacentral:rRNA from 1 species
CGGCGGACGGGUGAGUAACACGUGGAUAACCUACCUAUAAGACUGGGAUAACUUCGGGAAACCGGAGCUAAUACCGGAUAAUAUAUUGAACCGCAUGGUUCAAUAGUGAAAGACGGUUUUGCUGUCACUUAUAGAUGGAUCCGCGCUGCAUUAGCUAGUUGGUAAGGUAACGGCUUACCAAGGCAACGAUGCGUAGCCGACCUGAGAGGGUGAUCGGCCACACUGGAACUGAGACACGGUCCAGACUCCUACGGGAGGCAGCAGGA